GUGUUAUUUUGCUGAGCAGCAGCUGGUUUCAGGGCUUUCCACGUCCGAUUCUUUUGAGCAGAAUUAAGUGAACAAGUGUUUUCAAUGCAAAUGGUACUAGAAGGUGCUGUAAAGUCUCCUGAAGUCUUCUCUUCUCCAGGCUGAGCAACCCCAGCUCCCUGAGCCUGGAGAGGUGCUCCAGGCCCUUGGUCAUCUUCAUGGCCUUCAUCUGGACCAUCUCCAACAGGUCCACAUCAUUCUUAUGCUGAGGACCCCAGAGCUGGAUGCAGCACUCCAGAAUCACAGAAUCAUUUAGGUUGGAAAAGACCAAGAUCAGUGAGUCCAACCUUUGACCUGUCACCAACUUGUCGAGUGGACCACACCGGUAAAUGCCAUGUCCAAUUGUUUCUUGAGCACUUCCAGGGACGGUGGUUCCACCUUCAUGGAGGAUUUCUUCCUGCCUGGUGUUCAUCCUGAACCUCCUCUGGCACAGUUUGAGACUGCGUCAUCUUGUCCUGCCGCUCAGCAGAGGCUGGCUCCCACUUCACUACAGCCUCCUUUCAGGGAGCUGGACAGAGCCAUAAGGUCUCCCCUGAGCCUCCUUUUCUCCAGGCUAAACAAUCUCAGCUCUCCCACUUGCUCCUCAUAGGUCCUUCACCAGCUUCA